rnacentral:lncRNA from 1 species
ACAUUUACACAUUUAUGUGUAUUUUUCUAAUUAAUAAUACAUACACUGGUGUGCAUGCAUGUGUACAUACAUUCACAUGUUUAUGCAUACACAUGCCUACUCAUGUUUAUGUUUUGUGAUGAGCAAUAAGACCUUGCGUUGUGCAUAAAAGACAUAUAUACAUCUCCUUUGUAGAUUAAGUUUAAAACCUAUACCAGUAUCCCCAGUUAGGGCUGUAGGCUAGAUGUCGUUACUUGAGAUAUUCAUUUUAUCAUUAUACUUUUGUCUUCUUUUCCAUGCAACUUUUUCUCUCUCUCCUCCUCUCUUUCUAAGAAUUCUCUAUUCUUGCAACACUCUUUCUCCUUUUUCUCUGCCCCAGCUUUGCCCUCAAAUUUGAUCCUGCACAUCUCUAACAGUUAAUCAAUUGCCACCAAAGCUACCCUAUAUAUUGCUCCUAUUACAAGCCUCUACUAAGAAUCCUCCUUUCAAUCAUUGAUUUUACUGAUGGAUUAGCCACCAUAAUUUGUGACUAUCAAGAAAAAGGUGUUAUAUAAACUGUGAGUAUUAUAGUGCCAUUGGGGAGAGAUGUUUUGUUAUUAGUGUUGUAGUUAUUAUGGCUCAAUGUCAUUGUAAUUGAGUUAAGUUACAGCAUGUUGGCAUUAAGAUGUUUACUUGGCUAGGGAGCGGGAUCCAGGAGUUUUCACAUAGAUCCUAAGCACCUCCAGUGGUAGGCUCAGCAGCCUCCCAUUACCUAGUCUUUAUGAUGAUUCAAGAGUCUUCACUUAUCUAGAGUUAGAGGAUUGCUGAAGUGGGCACAAAGAGCUGUGUUGGGCCUGCUAUGGUUGGGUUAAGAGAAGAGAGACCUGCUUCUUUCCUUUGGCCAAAUAAUAGCCUAUCUUGGUGAUGCAUGGACUGAUUUGUGGGUGCUGCUACUAACAGCGCCUGUAACUCUUGGAUGUUGGCUAAGCGGGUAGACUGGAAAGCCAAGUAUUGGUUUUGGCAGGUGAUCUCACUAGCUGGCAUCUAGCUAUCCCCUAUAAUCCCUAAUCCCAUAUAUGUAAACCUAUCUAUUCCUCAAAUAAGCAAUAAUUUGUCUAAGCCUCUUAUCAAAUAUAAUGACAUUGAAAACAAAUACACUACAUGUGUAAAGUUGAACUUAAAAAAUAUAUUUUUGAAGUUUGAGAUUCAAGAAAUCAUUUCCAAGUCCUUAAAUAAAAAUAAAAAUAAAAAUAGAGCAAUAAAAAUUAAAAAACAAAGUUGAGUUAGAUACAGAUGGAUUAGAGUACUGGCUUGGAUUGUCUGGAAAGAGAAAGAAGAGUAUGAUAUAAUCGGCUUCAUCAGAAAAUGAAAGCCUCAGUUUCAUAGUCCUGACUUUUAAAUCAUUUUGUUGUAAAAACUAGAAGUUCUUUGUUUGAAAAUGAGGCACUAAUCCAAGUUCACUCAGUACAUUAGAAUGGCCAUGUAAGUUAUAAAGUGAAGCUAAAACAUAGACCCACAGAGCCCGAGAACAGAGGGUAAAGAUUUUCUUGUGAACUCACCAUGCUGUAUCAUUCAACAUACCAUGCCUAAUAAUCUCAAUCUCCAGUACACACCCCACAGAAAUACCUAUUUUUCUCUUGAACCAUUGGAGAGACUAAAGUUUGGAUUGCAAGUUGCAACUUGACAAAGAUGCAGCCAGAGAAGAUAUAAAGAAGAUGUGGAC